GGUAGAGAGCUGCAUUCACUUAGGAUUUUCCAAGAGCAACAAAGCAACAGUCGGGAGAGAGAGAGACGAGGCUUGAAGUGCUGCUGUGGACGAACCCAAAGCUCCGAGUGUCCUGCACAGCGAGGAUGGAUGUCGCCCAGCAAUCUCUGAGGUAUGAAUUAUGUAGAAGAUGCAGAGCAAAUGAGUUGAAGCACAGGCGGAUCCUCGCCCAGCCAGAGCAGCUGCAGUGCCUGAGCCUCCAGCCCCCUCCAUGUGGAGCAUCCCCACAAGCAUCUCCUGGGCCCAUCAGCCACGAGCAUCUCGCUGGUGACCUGGGAGCUUUCUGAAACCCAAGAAAACUCAGAGGGCAAAGGGGGGGGGGAGAGGGGAUAACUUCUGUGAGCCUCCCUGCAGAUGUAGCUGCUAAAAGCCAGAGCUCAGAGAGCUGGUGGUCUUAUCAGUGCUCAGCAGUGGGGAUCGUUUCUGAUGGGCUUGGAUGUGAAGCCAGGUCAGGUAUUCCACCCGUGUCUUAGGAUCAGGAGCUUUGGAUCUUCCCUGGCGUGCACUAUGUCACUUGGUGUCAUUACAGCUAGCUCUGUGCUCCAAGCAGGUAAAGCUUCCUUCGGCACCCGCAUCCUGCUGGCCAUGUCUCACGCCCAAAGCCAAACGUGACCCCGUGAUAUAGCUCCAAGCACAAAAAUGAGAGCAUGGCUUCUCACCUAAAAAUAAAUGCUUGUUUGUGACUUGGAGCCUGGAAGCUGAGUGUCUGCCUCAGAUUGCCACCAGGUCUCAUGGUAGUUGGCAUCUUUUACUUGCUUUCAGUUUUAAACCCAAAAUUCUACCAUUUUUUGUAAAGCCACAUUUAAUGUUGCAUUUGUAUGUGCUAAGGGAUAAGGGAAAGGUUUUACUGCUUGCAUUAUUUAUGAAUGGUAUAAUUUCACGGUAUCUGUAUUAAAAUAAGGUUCCAACUGGAAAAUAAUAU